ACGAACGCUGGCGGCGUGCCUAACACAUGCAAGUCGAACGAGAAACCGGACUUCGGUCUGGGAGUAAAGUGGCGCACGGGUGAGUAACGCGUGAGUAACCUACCUUCGCUGUCUGGGAUAACGCCGGGAAACUGGCGCUAAUACCGGAUGAAGUCCCGGGUCGCAAGGCCACGGGACCAAAGCAGGCCUCUAUUUAUAAGCUUGCGCAGGAAGCUGGGCUCGCGUCCCAUUAGCUAGUUGGCAGGGUAAAGGCCUACCAAGGCGACGAAUGGGUAGCCGGCCUGAGAGGGUGACCGGCCACACUGGAACUGAAACACGGUCCAGACUCCUACGGGAGGCAGCAGUGAGGAAUUUUGCGCAAUGGGGCGAAAGCCUGACGCAGCGACGCCGCGUGGGCGAUGAAGCUCUUCGGAGUGUAAAGCCCUGUUCAGGUGGGACGAAGCGCUGGGAGGAAGAACAUGCCUCCCGGCUGACGGUACCACCAGAGGAAGCCCCGGCUAACUCUGUGCAGCAGCCGCGGUAAUACAGAGGGGGCUAGCGUUGUUCGGAAUCACUGGGUGUAAAGGGUGCGUAGGCGGUCAGUUAAGUCUGAUGUGAAAGCCCUCGGCUCAACUGGGAAUGGCAUUGGAAACUAGCUGGCUGGAGUACCGGAGAGGGAAGCGGAAUUCCUGGUGUAGCGGUGAAAUGCGUAGAUACCAGGAGGAACACCGGUGGCGAAGGCGGCUUCCUGGCCGAGUACUUGACGCUGAGGCACGAAAGCGUGGGGAGCGAACGGGAUUAGAUACCCCGGUAGUCACGCCCUAAACGAUGGUACUAGAUGUUGGAGGUAUCGACCCCUCCAGUGUCGUAGCUAACGCGUUAAGUACCCCACCUGGGGAGUACGUUCGCAAGCAUGAAACUCAAAGGAAUUGACGGGGGCCCGCACAAGCGGUGGAGCAUGUGGUUUAAUUCGACGCAACGCGAAGAAACCUUACCCUGGGCUCUGAACCUGCUAGUGGACCGUAGGAAAGAUAGUCCUUCCCUCAGGGGCCGUAGUAGAGGUGCUGGCCAUGGCUGUCGUCAGCUCGUGUCGUGAGAUUGUUGGGUUAAGUCCCCGCAACGAGCGCAACCCUUACCCUUCCAGUUGCCAGCCGAGUUAAGUUGGGGCAACUCUAAGGCAGAACCUGCCGCGGAUAACGGGGAGGAAGGUGGGGAUGACGUCAAGUCCUCAUGGCCUUUAUGUCCAGGGCUCAACACGUGCUACAAUGUCCGGUACAAACGGUCUGCAAAACCCGUGAGGUGGAGCUAAUCCGAAAAAGCCGAUCCUCAGUUCGGAUCGCAGGGCUGCAACUCGACUGCCAUGGAGGCUGGAAUCGCUAGUAAUCGCGGAUCAGAACUGCCGCGGUGAAUACGUUCCCGGGCCUUGUACACACCGCCGUCCACAUCACGAAAGUUGAUUGCUACUAGAAACCGGUGAGCCUAACCUCACUGGGGGCAGCCGGUCCAAGGUUAUGAUCAGGAUUGGGGUG
rnacentral:rRNA from 1 species